GUUUCCUGUGGGGGGGUGGGUGAAGGUGUCUCGUUCUUCAUACACGACGUCUUCUAAAAGAUACGGGUCUACACCGGCAGGUCUUUGACGGUUAGGAGGCUAGGCCUACGAGCUGGUCAUUUUACACUCAUUUGCCAGGAAAGCGGUCGUGGCAGCAGAGGCAGCUCUCUGAGGAACUGUCGACCCAAGGAAAACUGGAGUCUGAGGCUUCUGUAUGUGUGAUAUCCACACCUCGUAUGAGAACACCAAGAUGUUCAGAGUGGUUUAGUCCUGUCUGCACUUUCAGUGAGACCUCUUUCAGUGCUGGUUCUGCUGCACCAUUGACUGACGCAUGUUGUCAGAGAUCAGGGCAAUAAUGCUGUAUCCUCCACCUUCUUAAUCUCUGCUGAACCUCCAAGAAAGCUCCUAUUGUCUGAUUGAGGGUUGUCUGAAUGAUUGAUGUAUUCUUGCAGGAUGGAGAUAAUAUAGUGCUGUAGCUCUGGAAGGCAAGGGCUUCACUCUGGGGAUGGCAACGGAUGAUUCUCCGCAGCGUAACAAUGGAUGUCAUGUGAUGGUCAAAGGACCAUGAAACCCAAGAAAUCCUGAUCAAAACAGUGUUCUGUCAGAUCCAUAGAUAACGUACCUACCGCUGUCUGGGUUCAUGGUGCUAUCCAUACGGUGCUGUCUAGAAGUAGAAGACGACACAGCCCCUGCCCAGAAGAGCUUACCAUCUAACUGAACAAAAUUGAGG